UACGUAGGGUGCAAGCGUUAAUCGGAAUUACUGGGCGUAAAGCGUGCGCAGGCAGUGAUGUAAGACAGGUGUGAAAUCCCCGGGCUUAACCUGGGAACUGCAUUUGUGACUGCACGCUGGAGUGCGGCAGAGGGGGAUGGAAUUCCGCGUGUAGCAGUGAAAUGCGUAGAUAUGCGGAGGAACACCGAUGGCGAAGGCAAUCCCCUGGGCCUGCACUGACGCUCAUGCACGAAAGCGUGGGGAGCAAACAGG
rnacentral:rRNA from 1 species